rnacentral:rRNA from 1 species
ACACGACUACAUUAGAUACCCGGGUAGUCCUAGCCGUAAACGUUACUCGCUAGGUGUCGGCCACGGUGCGACCGUUGUCGGUGCCGUAGGGAAGCCGUGAAGCGAGCCACCUGGGAAGUACGGCCGCAAGGCUGAAACUUAAAGGAAUUGGCGGGGGAGCACAACAACGGGUGGAGCUUGCGGUUUAAUUGGAUUCAGCGCCGGAAAUCUUACCGGGACCGACAGCAACAUGAAGGCCAAGCUGAAGACUUUGCCGGAUUAGCUG